rnacentral:rRNA from 1 species
AGAGCGAACGCUGGCGGCAGGCUUAACACAUGCAAGUCGAGCGCCCCGCAAGGGGAGCGGCAGACGGGAGAGUAACACGUGGGAACGUACCUUUCGGUUCGGAACAACCCAGGGAAACUUGGGCUAAUACCGGAUACGUCCGUAAGGAGAAAGAUUUAUCGCCGAAAGAUCGGCCCGCGUCUGAUUAGCUAGUUGGUGAGGUAACGGCUCACCAAGGCGACGAUCAGUAGCUGGUCUGAGAGGAUGAUCAGCCACAUUGGGACUGAGACACGGCCCAAACUCCUACGGGAGGCAGCAGUGGGGAAUAUUGGACAAUGGGCGCAAGCCUGAUCCAGCCAUGCCGCGUGAGUGAUGAAGGCCCUAGGGUUGUAAAGCUCUUUUGUGCGGGAAGAUAAUGACGGUACCGCAAGAAUAACGCCCCGGCUAACUUCGUGCCAGCAGCCGC